GGACUGUGUCCAAGUUACCCCAGGCAGAUAACCUGGGUCUGAGAGAAUGUGCUAAAUGUACAUGGCUUUUGAAUAUAGAAACAGAGAAAGAACUAAAAUAAAGACAGCCAUCUGAGACUGCACCUGCAGACUGAGGCAACUCUGCCUGUCAAAGCCAUUAGUAUGAAAUACUGCAAACACAGAAUUAUUUCUGCUUUGUUCAGAGCCCAUUCCCAGCAAAACAAAGAACAGACACUCAGCUAAAGCAAUUGGGCAAGAAGGAACAGCAACAUCGGUGGUGAGCUCUUGCUGAUAGUGAGAGGGCCUUGGGAAGUGUCCAAGGUAAAGGACCUAUUGCUGAGUUGUCUUGAAACUCUCCUGAUGGAAGCAAAAAAAAAAAAAAAUCCAGUUGAAAGGUUUACAUUAUAGAAAAUACAGGCUUGAAAAAGUCUCCUGACUGUUACUACAUUUCAGUGUCCAACAAGUUCAAGUGGGACUUAAAUUCAAGUCUAGGUAGAACAACUUUGAUAGUCUGUCCUAGGAAUGCAGAAUCAAUAACACCUCCAGACGCUCAUGAGUGGACCUUACACAGUGUUUUCUGAAUAUCCUAUGAUAAAGAAUUUUAAUAAAGUUCUACAGUAACUACAGUAA